rnacentral:misc_RNA from 1 species
AACUGAUACUACCUGCGGGAACCUGCGGAGGGAUCAUUACUGAAGUGAUUUGGGGAUGUUGCUGGCCCUCUCUCAAGGGGGGGCACUGUGCACUCCUCGAAACAAUUCACAAUUUCCAUCACACCCCUUGUGCACACCUUGUAGGCACCCAAACCCACCUCCGGGUGGUGGGGUCCUAUGUAUUCCUUCAUCCCACACUCUGUUGAAUGGUGCCAUGGGACGCAUCUAAAGGAUUAUUUG